rnacentral:misc_RNA from 1 species
UGAGACCAGUUCUUUCUACGUUCUAUAUCUGGGCAGAAAUAAACAGCUUAACCUAAAAGAAAACAAAUAGUUCUACUGUUUCUUCUUUAACUGGUAUUUAUUUUUAAAAAUGUAUUCUAUUUUCAUCUUUCUUUUUCCUUUUGCGAUUGCUAAUUCAGAUUAUCAAGGGACAUAUGCAGUUAAGGCAACAGAAGCUUUUUUAAUUCCAAUUAGCCAUAAAUGGUUUCCUGGAUUUUCUCAGGGAGACACUUUGGAGUAUAGCAUGUCUUUGCUAGAUAAACCAGACCUUCCUCAUUGGAUGUUUUCUCAAACUAAAAAUCAAAGAGAUGCUUUUCUUUAUGGAUCAGCAGACAAUCCUGGCCGUCUUGUACAAAUUGAAAUUAUUGCUUUGAAUACAAAUACAUACCAAACUGCUUCCAGAGUCUUAGAAUUGAAAGUGGAAAAUAGAUCUAGUGUCUCUGAGUAUGAAGUUGAAAUGAAAUUCUUGAACUUGAAUGUUGAAGAUAUGUUUAGCUCUGACAGACUUAAACGCUUGAUAGAAAUAUUUCAUUCUAACUUAUGGAAAGGUAGUGGAGAUAUAUAUGUCACUAAAGUUGUUUCUUCACUUGAUGUGGGAGGGCGUUUACCUCUAAAUCCUAACAUGAAAGAAGGAGUUGUCGUUAGAAUUGGAGGAAGUUUAACUUUUUCUCGUGACUUACUAGAUUUGGAACGAGAAGUGCAGCCUUUAAGAAACAGACAACCAUGCCCACGAGAUUAUAAAAGAACAUCUGUUGAACAUCUAUUUCGAAGUAGAAAUUUUGUAACUGACUGGUGCAGUUUUCGUUUGCUAUUUCAAAAGCAAGAGAGAAAUGCUGGCUCAAGUUAUGACAAUACUCAUUUUUCUACAGCAAUUACAAGUGAUGAAUUUCACCCUGAAUCAAUAGAACUUCCUCGAAGAGAUUUUGCUCUAGAUUUUAUUGUAUCUAUAAUCAUUCCUACUGCAAUUGUUGCCAUAAUUUCAACUGCCCUUACAUGCAUAAUGUGUUGUAACAAGGAAGGAAUAGAUCAGAAGUGUGAUGUCACUAGUAUGCAACUGGAUCAUUACAAUUCAAUUCAGCAUGCAUCAAGUGAUAUUCAUCGAUUAACAGUAAAACAAGACAGUUUGCAGUGUGCAGGCUCUACACCAGAAUCUUCUUUCCCUUGUUCUCACACUGAUAGCCCAUCUUCUACCCUACCCAAAGGAUUUACAUUGAGGCUGCCUAGGAAAAUGGAUAACUUAGGAUCUCAUUAGAUUUACACCUAGUUAAGUAAAAGCACAGGCUCCAAUCGUAAUAUUACACCAUGUCCAUAAUGAAUGGGAAAAUAUAUUAAAGGACACUCCUAGUUAUUAUUGAGUCUUUGACAGUGUAUUAAGUUCUACAGUACUCAGUGGAUACUGCUAUUUUACUGUUCUGUAGAAUCCUUAUCAACCCAAUCUUUACUAUUAUAAUAUUUUAGUUUGUAAUCAAGUUUGAUAUUUGUAAAAAUUUCCUUCCUUAUCAAAGUAAUUUUCCUCUCUAUUUGUUAUUCUGAUGUUAAAAAUUGAUUUACUCAAUAUAUAAAUCAGUUUUUGAAAAAAGUUUGCUAAAAAGUACCUGGAACUUGUUCUAUAUAUAUAUAUAUAUAUGUAUAUAUCCUGUGUUGAUGUAUACUACUGUAUUAAUAAAAUAGGAAGAAAUGAAGAGCUUAGUUAAAUGUAUUUACUGACUUUGUAAAAGCAUUUUAUUAUAAGUAUAGAAUAAGCAACUUUCUGAUUUUUUUUAAACACUCUGUUAAUUAUACCUAAUAUAUUUUUUAUUAAAUAUUGUUUAAACUUUUCUUCCUCUUAAUUUGUUUAUUUUUUAAUAAAUAACAGUUUUUUAAUGCAUUUAACCCUCCAAGCAUAGUUUUUCUGAGCAAACUUUUUCUUGGUAUGUACUACUUAUUCAUAGAAUAACAUGUUGUAGCAAAGCAAUUAGAUUGAAGUGUGUAUGAAGCUAAGAAUAAUGCUCAGAUAUUUAAUAAAAUGUAAACAAGCAUAUGACUGACAUUGUAUGAUUAAUGUACCCUUGAAAUAAUAUAUUUAAUGGUAUAUUUUUCUCAAAGUAAUUACAAUUUGAAUAAUAGUUUAAUAAUAACUUUUUAUGCAAACAAGUUUUCAAUUCUUUUUUUUUUAAAUUGCUAAUGAUUAAAAUGUUAAUUCUUAAAUUAUGUAUUUGAGUUUUACUUCAUAUUUCUUAACCAACAAAAAGUCUUUUGCUGAAAAUAAUUUUUCACGCACAUAAUUUUCAAUAUAUAAUUAUGUGCGUGUUGUAAGAAAUUCCCAGUAUUUGACACAGAAGCUACUAAUGAAGAAAAUAAAAUGCAAGUAUUAAUUGAUUCAAUGACUUAGUCUACCAUAUUCUGAUUAGUUUAAAAUUUAAGCUUUUAUUUACUUAUGAAAUAGAGUAAUUCUCAGCCUUGCCCUAAAAUUUUCCUAUUGCCACAGAGCACGCCUAUUUCUAAUUUGACAUAAAAAUUCUCACCAAACCUUUAUUUCUGAAUUUGCAUGUCUCUGGGUCAAAUUUUAUUCUAGGUUUAUUAGUUUGCUUUCCUCUUUAAAAAUGAUAUUUUUGUAAUUUUGACUAUGAUUGAUAAUUAAAAUGUUCUCAAAUGAGGAUAUUGUUGAUUUGCAUUUGAUUGAGGAUUAAUGUGACAAAAACACAAGUGCUGUAGGCAGCAUUAGGGUUAUGACAGUGAUUCCCAACCUAUAUUGAGUCAUAACCCCCCCCCCCACCCAGAAAAAAAAAUUUUUUUUUUCAAAACAUAUAUUUAUUCUAUAUGUCUGACAUUGAUUAUUUCAUUAACAUGUUUUAAAAAUUAAACUGCGAAAGCAUAGAAAAUAACUAUGUGCUAAUACUUUCACAGUUUUUUAUAUUGACAAACUAAUUAUUUAAAAAAAAUGAAUGUGACAAUUAUUAGAAUAAAAGCAUUUGUAUAGCAAUCCAGUGCAUUAUUCCCAACUUUUUCUUUAAUAGAAUGUUUUUUUUAAACUAUUUCUUGAACACAUGGCUUUACAUUGGAAAAAGCAAAAUGCAGGCCACUAUCUACUUCCUUUGAGUUGUUUUUAAUUAAAAAUGUAAUUUAGAAACCUGGAUUGCAAAGAUAAGUUGAGACAAAUGAAAACAAUCCCCUGAUUGCUCUUCUUACCAUUUAUGGAUAAGACUUGCAAAUUGAAGACAAAAAUUCCUGUGCCUGAUUUCACUACAAACAUGCCUUGCUUGAGAAUAAUUUUUUUUCCAUGAAAUUAAUCUUGCAAAACAUCAAGGUUUUUUUUAAAAAUUCACAUCUAAAUAGAUUUCAAACUGAAAUCAACUUCUCAAAAGAGAACUCAAGAAAGCAAACCCUAAAUUCAUUUUCUUAAUAUAGAGGAGAUCUGCAUUAGAAACCAAGUUUAAUCAGACUGAAUUCAUUCCCACUACAGAGGAAUUUUCUUGUUUAUAUACCACUGAUUGAUGAUAUUUUAAUCAGAAGGCCGAUUUAUUCAAAUUAAGGAAUAUAUAUUAGAUGCAUAAUACCAAAGUAUGUGUUGUUUCACAAGAACAAUUUAAAAAGUGAAUGCAACAAACAUGCACACAUUUUUAUAGAAUUUUUAUCCCUGUAACAACUACCAUUUUUGCUUUAAUUCUCAAUGAUAUGUUGCUUAUCCGUCUAAAUCACAAAAGGGAUUUAGUAUAAGCGUAGAAUCAUAUCUCUUUGGUAUAACAGUCAUUGGACCCCUGCCAAAUGGUUUAAAUUGUAGAAAAUAACUAAAUUUUUCUUAAAGUAAUGUUCCUAGAAUUAUAAAAUAAAAAUGAUUGUUUUUUUCAGUCUGACUCUUGUCAUUUCUCCUUCAUAUUAUACAAGAAAUGUGCCGACACAUUUGAAUCUCAAAUUUUCCAAUCAAUGGGUUAGAAAAUAGGAAUAUGUUAAGUGGCUACUGUGAUCUCCAGAUAUUACCCCUCUCGAUUUUUUUUUCUCUCUGGGCCAUUUGGGUGUGAACGAUAAAAAAAAACACUAGCUGAUCUAUCCAGGAGAUUUAACUACAAAAUCUCAUGUUGCACUUUCCACUGUCAAUAUUGACUUAUUGCAAGAUGGUUAAAGACUCAAUCUUGAAAUGUGGGUGUUCAUUAAUCUGUUAAAGCUGUGGGUGUUCAAGCUUACUUCGAUUUAAUGGUAAAAUCAACCUUCAUUAAUAAUGUAUUAUUUUGUAUAACAUAAUUUCUUAUUUGUCAAUUUUUGUUUCACUUACCCAAAAAAAAUUGCAAAUCAGAAGGCCAAUAAAUGCAAGGUUAAUAACAGCAUUUGUAGUAAUUAAGUUAUGUGCCAUGUGUUUUCUUUAAAGUUUACAAAUUAAAUUAAUAGUUUUUAAAAAUAGAAAUUACACUAAAGAAUUAUUUGUGAUUCUUCAGUAUGAAGAUAAUCUAAAAAUAUAAAUUAAGAUUAGUCUUUACAGAACAUAUACCAAUUAUUGAUUCUUAUAGAAUGUGAGAAGAAAACGGCAAUUUUUUUAUGUUCCUCUCCAAAAUUAAGAAUAUUUUUUUCCUUGAAAGCAUGUUUUUUGUUAUACUUUGUAUGAUAUAUGAAUAUACAUGAGUUUAAAGGAUUUAUGUUCUUUAGUUUUCUUUUUUAAGCAUGAGAUUAAACUAUGCUUAGAAGUCUUUUAAACAUAAGAUUUUUCUCUAAUGAAAUAAUUCAUAACUAAUAGUGUUCGAAGAAUUUCCAAAAAUUAAAUGUGUAUAUAUAUAUAUAUAUAUAUAUAUGUAUACAUAUAUAGUCUGCUUUAAAACUAUUGACAUUAAUUUAAAAUAUCAAACAGAUAAGUGCUUGAUUCUUCCAAUAUUGUUGUUUUUAUAUUAUAUCAGUUUUUCAGGGUUACUUUAUUUAUUUAUAUCUUUGAAUUUCCUUGUACAUGUAUAUUAAUUCAUAAAGAUGUUUUGUCAUCAAUGGAGAACUUAUCAGACUGUUGAAGUAUCACAAAAAUAUCAAAGUAGUUUUAUACUUUUGUGACAUGUAAGAUAUUUAUAUCACUUGUUUUAUUCACUAUAUAUUAUUUUAUAUAAUGUAAUUUUGUAUUUCAACUUAAAUAUUGAUCAGUGUUUUUAGAUUGACCUCCAGUAACUCAUAAUUUUCAUUUUUGUCUUUCCAUUUUACUUAAAAAGAUUUCUGAGGCUGAUUAAAAUAUUUGAACUCUAUAUUUAUUUCAACAUCUUUAUAAAUUUAAAAAUUUUGAAUUUAAAAGUAUUGAGAGAAAUUAUGAAUUUACAUGCUUUUUGUAUGGCUUUAUGAUCUGUUAAAAUGUUUAGGAUAGAUAUCUGGGUAAUUUAAUAGUAUUUUAGCAUUAGUCUUUUUUAAAUAAUUUUCAAUUCUAUAUUGUGCUGGUGAAAUGCACUAUAAAUUCCUGUAUGUGUGAUUCAUGCUUAGCGUUUAUGUCUUAAUUCACAUUUAUAUAUUGUAGAAAAAGAAUUGGAUUAUUGCAAUAAAUUAGCAAAGAAAAA